GCACAACGCGAAGAACCUUACCAGGUCUUGACAUCCUAGAAACUUUCCAGAGAUGGAUUGGUGCCUUCGGGAAUCUAGAGACAGGUGCUGCAUGGCUGUCGUCAGCUCGUGUUGUGAAAUGUUGGGUUAAGUCCCGCAACGAGCGCAACCCUUAUCCUUUGUUGCCAGCGGUUAGGCCGGGAACUCAAAGGAGACUGCCAGUGAUAAACUGGAGGAAGGUGGGGAUGACGUUAAGUCAUCAUGGCCCUUACGAGUAGGGCUACACACGUGCUACAAUGGCGCAUACAAAGAGAAGCGACCUCGCGAGAGCAAGCGGACCUCAUAAAGUGCGUCGUAGUCCGGAUUGGAGUCUGCAACUCGACUCCAUGAAGUCGGAAUCGCUAGUAAUCGUAGAUCAGAAUGCUACGGUGAAUACGUUCCCGGGUCUUGUACACACCG
rnacentral:rRNA from 1 species